UUGUUUUCAGAGCUGUUUUAGCUGAAAAAGGAUGAAUUAAAUAAUUCCAUGCCUGAAUAAAGGAGAAAAGGCCCCGGUUUCCUAUGGUAUACCCCUGUGUCUGUUGAUGAUAUAGUGAAGCAACAACACCAGUGAGGCUUGCGGGAGAAUAUUUUAUACCACAAGUGAAGUCCUCAAAGAGCCUUUUCCACCAAGAGUUCCAAGAGCCAGGAGAUACUGCUCCCAUUUUCCUGAAGAACCCUACAAGAUUCAAGCACAGUGGCAUCGCCUGUCUGGAUAAUCUGCAAAGCGAUCUUAACCAUAUCUACUCCAAAGUAAAUUCUAUUGAAUUCAGUGGUGCUUACUCCCAGGCUUAUCAAACAGAAUGGCCUGCAAAAUGGUGGACUUCAUUCGUUUGAUUUACUCUCAUUGAUUCUUGGUAUGUGACAACUUCUGACACCAUAUUGUGCAUU